UACGUAGGGUGCAAGCGUUGUCCGGAAUUAUUGGGCGUAAAGAGCUCGUAGGCGGUUUGUCGCGUCUGCUGUGAAAACGCGAGGCUCAACCUCGCGCCUGCAGUGGGUACGGGCAGACUAGAGUGCGGUAGGGGAGAUUGGAAUUCCUGGUGUAGCGGUGGAAUGCGCAGAUAUCAGGAGGAACACCGAUGGCGAGGGCAGAUCUCUGGGCCGUUACUGACGCUGAGGAGCGAAAGCGUGGGGAGCGAACAGG
rnacentral:rRNA from 1 species